UAGGAGCACCACUUUUCUGUUAAAUUAAACUCCUUACUUAGCCUGGAAAUCACUUACCUUCCUAGGUUUCUUUUAGGUGAUUGGUCCAUUAUGAACCUGGAAGAUGAGCCAGCUGCCACGUAAGUGGACUUUCCAGCCUCAGAUGACCACAGCCCCCCACUGACACCAGGAUUACAGCUGAGUAGUUACAUGCUUACAUUCUAAACUGCCUUUUAGAAUUGCCAGGUCUGGAUUCAAGGGACAACUUCAUAUCACUGCAGCCACCUUGACCUCUUCCAGAGAGCAGCUGGCUAUGGGAAACCAUUACAGAAAUAUUCAAGAAAAACUUAAUCUCCCCAUUUAGCCACAGGGAAGACAUGGAGGACAGGAUUUUAGCUUUAAGCCUUAAAUGUUCAGGACUGAAGGAGUUAGCCUCAAAAUUACUUAUAAAUUUCAUCAAAUAUUGAGUGUCUGCUUUGUGCCAGGAAAAUGUCUACUGUUUGGCUGAUCUCCUUGCAUGUCCCUUUUGAUGAUUUCCUGUUUUUGUCCCAUUUUCUUCUUUUAGUGAGGAAUCAAGGUUCUCAGUGUAAUCGAGUUACUCAGCCUACCGAAAUCGUUUUGAUUUCUAUUCACAGGUGUUUUGCCUGUGUUUACCUGAUGUUCCCUCUAGCUAAUCCAGGGAUUCUGUAUGUUUAAUUGUUGAUAUAAAGUGGCAGACACACUUUCGAGAUCUUAAUAGCAAGAAUGUAAGCAUUUCUUUUCUUUUUUUAAUCUUAGGAUUUAUGGCAAUUUCAUAGAAAUCUGACAGAGUUGGAUAAGAAACUGUAAUACUGUAUAUGAGAUAGAGAAGAUAUUUGAGGUGGCGGACGGCGGGGGGCUGUCCUUGAGCAAAACUGAAAUAGGCCAAGAGUUUCUUCUGAGGCUCAGUUUUCAUAAUUCACAAUCUGUUCCCCUCUUCUCCAGCCUCUUCCCCUGGGUACCUGUCAUGAAUCGUUACCCCAAACGAACUGCAUGAGCUAAUUUAUUAGGAAAGGAUAAAUGCUGAGUCAUGUUUCUCAUCCCAGAACCCUGCAUGCUUCUGCUUGAGGCUGUUGACUUCUGAGCCUGUCAUCUUGCCUUAAGAUGCACAGCUCUCUCUUCUCCCUACCUCUGCAAUUCUCCACUCAGCAUUUUCUGAUGAACUAGUGUUGUCUUCAGUUCUUCCCUCCAUCAGAAAACCACAUUAGAGGUCAUUUGAAUGUAAUCCUUGGCAAUGACAUUUUACCUUGCCUUUGGGUAGAAGUCACAGCUAAUGUCUGAGCAUUUGUGCUUCCUGGUUGUUGGUGGUUGGGGACAAAGCUAUGAAUUUCCAUUGAAUUAUUCUUCACUGCAAGAUUGUCACUCUACAACAGAGCAUCAUAACAAGAAAAAACAAAGGCAAGUGAUGAGAGAAAAAGGAAUUCCAUUCUCCCUAUAAC
rnacentral:lncRNA from 1 species